AGAGUUUGAUCAUGGCUCAGAACGAACGCUGGCGGCGUGCCUAAUACAUGCAAGUCGCGCGAGAAAGUGGUAGCAAUACCAUGAGUAGAGCGGCAAACGGGUGAGUAACACGUAAGUAACCUCCCUCUAAAUCUGGAAUAACCUUGCCAACGCGGGGCUAAUACCGGAUGUGGCCCGCUUUUCACAAGAAGAGCGGAUUAAAGGCGACCUCUAUUUAUACGUUGUCGUUUAGAGAUGGACUUGCGCACUAUUAGCUAGUUGGCGGGGUAACGGCCCACCAAGGCUUUGAUGGUUAGCCGGCCUGAGAGGGUGUACGGCCACAUUGGGACUGAGAUACGGCCCAGACUCCUACGGGAGGCAGCAGUAGGGAAUUUUGCGCAAUGGACGAAAGUCUGACGCAGCAACGCCGCGUGAGUGAUGAAGGUCUUCGGAUUGUAAAGCUCUGUUGAGUGGGAAGAAAAGUUUAGGGAAUAAUACCUCUGAACGUGACGGUACCAUUCGAGGAAGCCCCGGCUAACUACGUGCCAGCAGCCGCGGUAAUACGUAGGGGGCAAGCGUUGUUCGGAAUCACUGGGCGUAAAGGGAGAGUAGGCGGGAAAAUAAGUUAGGAGUUUAAUGUCCGGGCUUAACCCGGAAUCUGCUUCUAAUACUGUUUUUCUUGAGUAUUGGAGAGGGAGAUGGAAUUCCAGGUGUAGCGGUGGAAUGCGUAGAUAUCUGGAAGAACACCAGCUGCGAAGGCGGUCUCCUGGCCAAAUACUGACGCUGAUGCUCGAAAGCUAGGGGAGCAAACAGGAUUAGAUACCCUGGUAGUCCUAGCCGUAAACGAUG
rnacentral:rRNA from 1 species